AGUCGAACGGGCACUUCGGUGCUAGUGGCAGACGGGUGAGUAACACGUGGGAACGUACCUUUCGGUUCGGAAUAAUACAGGGAAACUUGUACUAAUACCGGAUAAGCCCUUCGGGGGAAAGAUUUAUCGCCGAUAGAUCGGCCCGCGUCUGAUUAGCUAGUUGGUGAGGUAAUGGCUCACCAAGGCGACGAUCAGUAGCUGGUCUGAGAGGAUGAUCAGCCACACUGGGACUGAGACACGGCCCAGACUCCUACGGGAGGCAGCAGUGGGGAAUAUUGGACAAUGGGCGAAAGCCUGAUCCAGCCAUGCCGCGUGUGUGAUGAAGGCCUUAGGGUUGUAAAGCACUUUUGUCCGGGAAGAUAAUGACUGUACCGGAAGAAUAAGCCCCGGCU
rnacentral:rRNA from 1 species